GGUUAGCAAUGUGCUGCAAAUAAAAGACACAUUAUCAGGGUUCUUCCAUGAACAGGAUAAAAGGUUUAAUUAUAGCCCAUAACAAAUACUGAACGCCAUUCAGCACAACUAGAUAACAUAAUUCAUUCCCACAAAACAUUGUCUAAACAACCUUAAUGGUAAUGACAUUGGUAAAUCAAUCAACCACUGCCGCCACAUACAUCAACAAAGUAGAAAGGAGUUAAAUAAAUGGAGAAUA
rnacentral:misc_RNA from 1 species